CGGGAGGCAGCAGUGGGGAAUAUUGGGCAAUGGAGGAAACUCUGACCCAGCAACGCCGCGUGGAGGAAGAAGGUUUUCGGAUCGUAAACUCCUGUCCUUGGAGACGAGUAGAAGACGGUAUCCAAGGAGGAAGCCCCGGCUAACUACGUGCCAGCAGCCGCGGUAAUACGUAGGGGGCAAGCGUUGUCCGGAAUAAUUGGGCGUAAAGGGCGCGUAGGCGGCUCGGUAAGUCUGGAGUGAAAGUCCUGCUUUUAAGGUGGGAAUUGCUUUGGAUACUGUCGGGCUUGAGUGCAGGAGAGGUUAGUGGAAUUCCCAGUGUAGCGGUGAAAUGCGUAGAGAUUGGGAGGAACACCAGUGGCGAAGGCGACUAACUGGACUGUAACUGACGCUGAGGCGCGAAAGUGUGGGGAGCAAACAGGAUUAGAUACCCUGGUAGUCCACACUGUAAACGAUGAAUGCUAGGUGUAGGGGGUAUCGACCCCUUCUGUGCCGCAGUCAACACAAUAAGCAUUCCGCCUGGGGA
rnacentral:rRNA from 1 species